UUUUUUUUUUGAGACAGUUUCCCUCUGUCACCCAGGCUGGAGUGCGUGGUGCGAUCUCAGCUCACUGCAAGCUCUGCCUCCCGGGUUCAUGCAUUCCUCCAGCCUCAGCCUCCCGAGUAGCUGGGACUACAGGCACCCGCCACCACGCCUGGCUAAUUGUAUUUUUAGUAGAGACGGGGUUUCACCGUGUUAGCCAGGAUGGUCUCGGUUUCCUGACCUCGUGAUCUGCCCACCUCGGCCUCCCAAAGUGCUGGGAUUAUAGGUGUGAGCCACCGCGCCGGGCCGUAUGUGUGUACCUCUUUACAAGUCUUGCCUGACCUUUGCAUUUAAAAAUUAUUGAAAAACUUAAGGAUGUAACUGACAAGAACUUUAUAGGUUUCUCCAAGUAAAAAUUUGGAAAAGUUAAGUGAACCCAUAAUGUGUUUUAUUUCUGAGUCCCACACUUGGAUUUUUAAAUGUGGGCAAAACAUCUGUAUGUUCUUCAGCCUGAUUUCCGUGGAAUCGUGAAUGAAACGUGCUGAAGUUGCCGUGCGGAUUUUGUUAUGUGGCGGUGACAAGUGGGGCUGGUCAUUAAACAACUGGAGGAAUCCCUGUCCUUUCUGUGCUCCUGUUGGACACUAGGCACGUGCUUGGGUGUUUUCUGUGUGUGUGGACAAGAUGAGGACAGAAUUUCCAGAUUCACACGGUGGUAUCUUCUCCCUUUUCUGUUAAAACGUGUCUUCUGCUGCUUCUACAUAGACCAAGUGUUUCUUUCUCUUGCCUGUCUACAUAAACGCUGUUUAACAAAAACUGCAUUGUAGACAUGUGAAGCUGAAUUCCACAUGAUCAAGCAGAUAGAGAUGACUGAGUAUACUGUUUUGUGGAAGGAAGGUUUAAAAUGAUUUUUAGCUUUUUCCCUGAAAUAGGGAAUACUUUUAACUUUUUCCCUGAGAUAGGGAAUAAUGAAAUGGGAAAAUAAUUAAAUUUUCCCAUGUAAUUGUUAGAUUAUAUUUAAUUAUUAGAUUAUUCAUGUAUUGCAAGGGAAAAAGGAACUAGAUCACCCCAUGUACCCAAAUGAAAAUUUAAAGGGUAUGGGCGAAUUCAUUUGAACUCCUUUAAUUUGUUUUUGUUUGUUUGUUUUUGACAGUCUCACUCUGUUUCUCAGGCUGGGUGCAGUAGUACAAUGACAGCUCACUGCAACCCCAACGUUCUAGGCUCAAGUGAUUCUCCUGCCUCAGCCUCCCCAACUGCUGGGAUUUACAGGCGUUAACCACCACACACAGCUUAUCACCUCUUGGAGACUAGCUUUGAGUUUGGGCAUUCACUGAACUAUAUUUUGGUUAAUUCUCAAAGUUUGUCACUGUUUAUCUUUAAUUUGCUAAAAAUCUACAUGUAUUGUAAAAUGCGUUACAUUUCCUUAGCAUUCACGGAUUCCCUGUUAGUGGGGCAGAGACACAGAAGGGCAGAAGGCGUUCGGACAUCAUCAGGGUUGCAGUUGAGUGCUUGCCCCGAACACACUGGAGCUCUGGGCUCUGUGGCCCCACGGGGGUCCUCUGUCCACUGAGGGGGCCGGGUUACCUGGAAGGUCCCUCCAGCCUCUGCAAUUUUGCCCUUUUCAGGUUAACAUCUCAUCGUUGUCCUGGACAGCACUGCCUUUCGUUCACUGACCCACGAGUGAACAGCUGGUCAGUGGCCAGUGCUGCUUCCUUCAGCUGGGAGGUGGUGAUGUGAUAACACUUCCGUGGAAUUUGGUUCUUGGUGUAUUAAGGGUUCAGUUGUAUGUUUAUUUUUAAUCUGCACCUCUGAAUUGGUCUUUUGAUUGCAAAGAGAUUGCUUACUGGAUUUGUUUCUGAAUAUUUGGUGGAUAACAGGAGAACCUUGCUUAUCUGUGUGUUCAUUUAAUGUGUUUUUGCCAGGCAUUUAUAUGGGUGUGUUAGCCCUCAGCCCACUUUCUGUGUGUGGUGGAGUCAUUGAAAUCAUUUAUGUGAAGUCUCUCUUCUAUUAAGGCCAGAGGACGUGGGGUGGUGUCUCCCUAAACUAGGGGGAAAUGGCAUUGUUCUGCCCUCCUCCCUGGGAACGCUGGUGUUUCCAGGUCUCUGAACUUGGCUCCCACACUGGGAGAGUGGCUGUGGCUUCUGGAGCCCGUUUUGUGCGGGACUGACUCCUUCACUUGCUUUAUUCCCCACCGUCUUUGCUGCUUUAUGACGCAGGGAUGAGGGAGUUGGGCCCGGGGGCCUUGCCUGUGCCUGAAGGGCCCGAUGCAGAAAACUCCUGGUGGGAAGGAUGUUCCUUGAGGGCAGCUUUUGGAGUCUUUUCCUACUUUUAACUGAGAAGCAGCUAUUCACAUGGUUCUAUUCUGCUGGUGUGUUUCAAAAUAAUUGGUGUAGAGUUGUGAAGAUGUCCGAGACACCCAUGAUCCACUCCGGGCCAGUGCCGGGCAUUGUGCUCAGAUGCCUUCAGACCACAUUCACAUGCCAAAGAUUCUUGCUUGGUUAUUCUCAAACUUAUGAGAAUCUAAAACGCGAGCCACGGUAUGGAUUUUCUCUUGAGCCCCCAUGACUUUGCCUUGUAUUUUGGGCAUGAAUGACUUCAUCAAGGGGAAAGAAUUUGAGGAAGGAGCCUCUGAGGCUAGGAGGGGGUGGGAAGGGGCGGUGGGAAGAGGAGGGAAAAGGAGCUGUAGAGGGAAGAGCCAGGCUGGGGCUGGGGCAUCUCCCCAUGAUGCUCCCCCACCCCUGGCGCGAGGCCCCAGGGACUGACUGAUUUUCCCACAGGAAAUGUGUAUGAUUGCGUGUCUGUUUUGUGGGCUGGCCAUUUGGAUUGAGGGAAUGUCUGUGUUGUGAUUCCUUAUUGAUUCGAAGGUUGGAAAGGUUUGUGCUCAAUACAGGGGUCUCUUGGUGCGAUGGGAAAUGUGAUCGCAGCCGCCUUCGGGGUGGGGAGAGCCCUUGAGGCCCUCAGUGGUGGCCGGUGUUGGCUUCGCUUCCCUGGGUGAGCUGCCCUCAGGGUGGGAAGGGAGGUCCUCGGUGGUGGCCGCUGUUGGCCUUCGCCUCCCUGGGUGAGGGCUGCUCCAUCCCCGGCUCUCCGACUCCUUGCCUGGCACCUUCCUCGUUGGAGGCCGUGAUCCAUCAACUUUGUCCACGCGUGUCCUGCAGACUAGUGCUGACUGCAGGUUCAGGAGUGGUCAGAGGAGGCCAGAGGAGGCCCUCGUGAUGCGAAGCUAAACGUUUAAUGAUGGCGCUGCUGAGUGCAUGAGCCGCGUCAGCCCAAGAGUCUGGGGCGAGGCUUGCUGCAGGGGCUACAGAGUCCAAGAAGCCCCAGGACCCACAGCCUGCAAGCUAGAGUCCUGGGAGGGUGUGGCUUGAAGACUUGAGAAGCGGAGGGUGCAGAUCCCACCCGGGUCUGAGGAGCUGAGACCCAGGAGCACGGGCUGCAGAAGACAGAUGUCACUGGCCCAUCAGCCAGACAGGUGGAGUGAACCCAGUUUUCCCCGCCUUGCUGUUUUACUCGGGCCCUGGGUGGAUAGGGUGGUGCCCCCCACACCGGCGAGGAUGGGUCUCCACUCAGUCCAGAGGCAAACAUGCAUCUCACACAGAAAUAAUGCAGAACCAGCCAUCUGGGCACCCCGGGCACGCUCAGGUUGAUGCACAAAACCAACGCCGCGCGUGGCCCUGACGUCUGCGUGUUCGCAUCACUCCACGCACAUUGCUCGGUCAUCGCCUCGGUGAGUUUGUAAGCUCGUUGUGUGGUUCUGGGGCUCUUUGUCCCGGGUGGUGGUGGUGAUGAUGACAGGCUCCCCACUGCCCCAGCUCAGGUAUGGAAGGUGAUGGCACCAACGGCUCCUUGUUUCUCAGACACUUGAGCGGGUGCUCUGUGCAGCCAGUUCCACCUGCAGCAGCAUCUGUUCCCUAUGCCGAUUCCAUUCGGAGUGUGUGCCUCCCUUCUGUUGAGGGUGCAGCCUUCUUUCAGGGAAGAACUGUGUCCUGUUCGCCUAUGUCUCCUGUGGUGUAUCUCAUGGCUGAAUAAGUAGCUAUAGGAUACCUCGGUGGCUGAACGAUAGGUUCAUUGAAAGGAAAACUUUAUACUUUUUUUUUCUUUUUGGGACGGAGUUUCAUACUCAACGCCCAGGCUGAAGUGCAAUGGCAUGAUCUUGGCUCAUUGCAAACUCUCCCUCCCGGGUUCAAGUGAUUCUCUUCCCUCAGCCUCCCAAGUAACUGGGGUUACAGGCGUCUGCCACCAUGCCUGGCUAAUUUUCGUAUUUUCAUUAGAGACAGGGUUUCACCAUGUUGGCCAGGCUGGUCUUAAACUCUUGAUCUCAGGUGAUGCACCCACCUCGGCCACCCAAAGUGCUGGGAUUACGGCCAUGAGCCCCUGCACCCAGGAACUUAAUACCGUUUUUUUUUUCCUUUAAAUCAUAAUGGGCUUGUUAAAUGCUUACGUUAAUGUUUAUUUUUAAAAAUGUUAUCUGUGACCUUUCAGCUUUUCAUAGCACUUCUCGUGUGAAUAUUUAAAAAAGGCCCUUUAGUCGUGGGGGAGAAGGAGGUUAUCCCUUUCAGCAGAGGGAGAUGGAGGAACACGCCCUGGUGGGUCUGAGCACAGGCAGUCACCCCAGCCUUGGUGCUUGCUUAGGUCUGUUCUCCGUUCACCGUAGCCGCAUCCACUCUCAUUGUCAGCUUAAAAAUAAGCUUUUUCCUCUUUCUAAUCAGAACAGUUAGUUUGUUAACCAUCACGUUAAGGUAUCGAGAAUGAUGGCUUUCAGGCCUCAGAUAUGACACAAGUAGUAAAUGCAGCUGACCCUGAACAACAUGGGUUUUGAGCUUCGAAGGAUCACUUAUGUUAAUUAUUUUCCAACCAACCCUUACUGAAAAAACCUGGCUUUGUGGAGGGCUGACGUUUCCUACAUGCGGUUCCAUAGGGUGGCCACAGAGUCCUGUGGAUACGUAGAUUUGGGUAAACUCGGGGGGUGUUCUGGAAUCCAUGUCCCUGUGUAUACAGAGGGACAACUGCAGCUUUUUAAAAGUUUGUGUCCUGCCUUGUCCUAAAAAGGCUCCAAGGUGGAUGCAAAAUUAUUUCAUCCUUUUGGUUUUCUUGGUGGGAUAUUGAUGUUUAUUCUUCAGUGUCUAAAAUCCUGAGUGAACAGAGUUAGUGCUUCAGGAACAAAGCCAGUCUGGAAACACAUAUUGAGAUAUCCACCUUUUCUUCAUGGUUUCACAAAAGGCCAUGAUCAUAUUUUAUUCGGUUGAACUGUAGGAAACUGCCAAUAUUUGCUGUUUUUGGCCUACAAAAUGGCAAGUUCGUACGAUAUUAAAAACAAAGGCUUCCUGGAUGGGGAAAAUAGGAAUCGGUGAGAACCUGAAGUUGUCUGUCAUGGCCUCUGAGUCACAGGUAAAUAAACCUGCGUGAGGGGAAGUUGGCUGUACAGUAUUUUCCUUCUGUUUUGAGACUGUCAGAAAAAGGUCAGUUCCAUUGCGUCGGGUCCCUUUUCCUCACCUUUGCUGCAGAGGGGACUUGCCAUUAUUCCUCUUGUUUCCAGUGCCCAGGAGGCUGAUGCCACAUAGAAGACCUGCAGGUCGAUGGAUGUGAAACAGGCAUCGGACACGCUGUGCACCUUGGGAUGCAUCUGAGAAGUACGUGCUUGCAGCAGGUCUGAGAUUUCUUUGCAUCGUCUCCCUUAUCCAGAAGUGAGGGUGAACGCUGAGUUAUUCACGGGAGUCAAGAAACCACACGCAGCCCAAAGAGACGUUUGUUUCCCUGGAAUGAUUUGUGUGUGUUCACCUUAAAAUGCAACUUAGUAAAACAGGUGUGUUUUGA